UGCUCCCUCCGUUUCAAAAUGUUUGACACCGUUGACUUUUUAGUACGUGUUUGACCAUUCGUUUUAUUCAAAAAAUUUAAGUAAUUAUUUAUUCUUUUCAUAUCAUUUGAUUCAUUGUUAAAUAUACUUUCAUGUACACAUAUAAUUUUACUUAUUUCAUAAAUUUUUUUGAAUAAGACGAACGGUCAAACAUGUGCUAAAAAGUCAACUGUGUCAAACAUUUUGAAACGGAGGGAGUA
rnacentral:miRNA from 1 species